rnacentral:rRNA from 1 species
GACGAACGCUGGCGGCGUGCUUAACACAUGCAAGUCGAACGAAGAGCGAUGGAAGCUUGCUUCUAUCAAUCUUAGUGGCGAACGGGUGAGUAACGCGUAAUCAACCUGCCCUUCAGAGGGGAAAACCAGUUGGAACCAAUGCCGAAUACGUCAUCCGGCCAAAUCCGGGCAUCGGGAAAACAUGAAGGGGGCCCACUAUUAUAAGUCAACUACGGAAGAUGGGGGUGUGACUGCCUAGCUAGGUGGGGGGGUAACGGCCCACCAAGGCGAUGAUCAGUAACCGGUCUGAGAGGAUGAACGGCCACAUUGGGACUGAGACACGGCCCAGACUCCUACGGGAGGCAGCAGUGGGGAAUCUUCCGCAAUGGACGAAAGUCUGACGGAGCAACGCCGCGUGAGUGAUGACGGCCUUCGGGUUGUAAAGCUCUGUUAAUCGGGACGAAAGGCCUUCUUGCGAACAGUUAGAAGGAUUGACGGUACCGGAGUAGAAAGCCACGGCUAACUACGUG